rnacentral:lncRNA from 1 species
AUAAAUCGGGUAUUAUCUCUCCUCCGUUCUCUCUCUUCUCUUCCAAGGCUUUUCAACCUAAGCAGUCCGGAAUCGAUUUCAGCUGUGUUAAAGAAUUAAAUGAUGCUAUUGGAUUGUUUCAAAAAAUGAAGAGUAUGCGGCGGGAUCCUUGUAUUCGAAUGUACAACAAUCUUUUGAGUGUUACUGUAAAGAUUGAGCAGUAUUCUUUUGCCCUUUAUAUGUUUGCUGAAAUGCUUAGAAUGGGUGUCCCUGUUAAUGUUUACACAAUGAAUAUUGCUAUCAAUUGUUGUUGUCUCUUGAAAGAUAUAAAAUCUGGCUUUGCUGUAAUGGGUAUAUUUUUCAAGAGAGGCUACGAACCAAAUGUCGCGACUUUCACCACUCUGAUUAAAGGGCUGUUUUUAGAUCAUAGGGUGGUCGAGGCUGGAAAAUUGUUCAAUAAGAUUUUGUGUUUCGGAAUAUGUGAGCCUAAUGAUGUUAUGAUUCUGACGAUGGUAGAUGGGCUUUGUAAAUCAGGAAAUGUCCUUCCAGCGAGAGAUUUAGUUCGUAGAUUAGAAAGAAGUAGGUUGAGACCUAAUGUCAAGGCUUAUAGUGCAUUGCUCGACGGGCUACGCAAAUCUGGAAUGGUGGAUGAUGCUCUCCAGCUCCUAUCCGCGAUGAUCGAAAAGGGUAUUACACCCGAUGUUGUCACGUACAACUCAAUGAUUCAGGGGUUGUGCGACCUAGGGAGACUGGAGGAUGUUAAGGUUCUGGUGAAUGAAAUGUCUAAUUCUAAUAUUUCUCUCGAUGUUGUUACCUUUAAUAUAUUGAUUGAUGCAUACUGCAAGGAGAGAAAGAUGGAAGAGGCUGAGGAUUUGUUGGAAAUUAUGAAGCAACGUAACGUAUGCCCUACUGUUGUCACUUAUAAUACGCUGAUUGAUGGGUAUUGUUUGAGAGGAGAAAUUGACAAAGCACGACAAGUACUUGAUUCCAUGGUUGACAAGGGACUUAAGCCUGAUAUUGUUACCUACAACUGCUUAUUAAAUGGAUAUUGCAGAAAGGGGAGAAUAGACGAAGCUUGGCUUCAUUUUCAGGAAUUUCCUUGUAAAGGUCUGGAGCAUGAUACAUGUACUUACACAACCAUGAUACAUGGAUUGUUUAGUGAACGUAGAUUUCCGAGGGGCUGGAAGCUUUCAAGGAUAUGGAAGCUCGACGAGUAUGUCCUGAUAUAUAUACUNAUGUGUAAAUUUAUGUCACAUAAUACUUAUUAAAAAACGGAGGAAGUUAGUAUGUACUUUUGAAAAAAAUAUUUAAUUUUAGAUGUUUUUCGAGUGCUCAAUAAUUUAAAAUGUCAUCAAUUUAUCAGAUGAAUUAAUAUUUCUUGAGCGAAAAACUUACAACUAUGAUUAAUUAUCAAUCAAUACUUGAAUAAGAUAAAAAUGCAUUGUUGAUACAAAAAGACCAUAAUCAGUAAUCAACUUGAAAGAAAUCUAAAUUAUAACAGUCAAUCGUAAUUUAUUAUUAUUAUUAUUAUUAUUAUUAUUAUUAUUAUUAUUAUUAUUAUUAUUAUUAUUAUUAUUUUCGAGUUUCGAUUGAAUCCAAAUAGAAUUACACAUUUGGUCCAUGAUUAUAUAUUUGGCCCAAUAGAAUUUGGGCUGGCCCAAUUCAACCCAAAUUACACACAUUUGGUCCAUGAUUUGUUCUUAAAAAAAGAACUAACAGAAAAAUAUCUUCACUCUUGCAAAACAUCCUCAGCAUCUGUUGCAAUUUCAACCCUUUUUUCUGCGAUUAACGAUUAUGAGUAGAAGAGCUGCUGUUACUGCAAUCGAUCUCAUUCAUGGAAGAGGAUUUCUCAAUCAAUGGUCGCAUAAAUCGGGUAUUAUCUCUCCUCCAUUCUCUCUCUUCUCUUCCAAGGCUUUUCAACCUAAGCAGCCCAGAAUCGAUUUCAGCUGUAUUAAAGAAUUAAAUGAUGCUAUUGGAGUGUUUCAAAAAAUGAAGAGUAUGCAGCCGGAGCCUUCUGUUCGAAUGUAUAACAAUCUUUUGAGUGUCACUGUAAAGAUUGAGCAGUAUUCUUUUGCCCUUUAUAUGUUUGCUGAAAUGCUUAGGAUGGGUGUCCCUGUUAAUGUUUACACGAUGACUAUUGCUGUGAAUUGUUGUUGUCUCUUGAAAGAUAUAAAAUCUGGCUUUGCUGUAAUGGGUAUAUUUUUCAAGAGAGGCUACGAACCAAAUGUCGCGACUUUCACCACUCUGAUUAAAGGGUUGUUUUUAGAUCAUAGGGUGGUCGAGGCUGGGAAAUUGUUCAAUAAGCUUUUGUGUUUCGGAAUAUGUGAGCCUAAUGAUGUUAUGAUUCUGACGAUGGUAGAUGGGCUUUGUAAAUCAGGAAAUGUCCUUCCAGCGAGAGAUUUAGUUCGUAGAUUAGAAAGAAGUAGGUUGAGACCUAAUGUCAAGGCUUAUAGUGCAUUGCUCGACGGGCUACGCAAAUCUGGAAUGGUGGAUGAUGCUCUCCAGCUCCUAUCCGCGAUGAUCGAAAAGGGUAUUACACCCGAUGUUGUCACGUACAACUCAAUGAUUCAGGGGUUGUGCGACCUAGGGAGACUGGAGGAUGUUAAGGUUCUGGUGAAUGAAAUGUCUAAUUCUAAUAUUUCUCUCGAUGUUGUUACCUUUAAUAUAUUGAUUGAUGCAUACUGCAAGGAGAGAAAGAUGGAAGAGGCUGAGGAUUUGUUGGAAAUUAUGAAGCAACGUAACGUAUGCCCUACUGUUGUCACUUAUAAUACGCUGAUUGAUGGGUAUUGUUUGAGAGGAGAAAUUGACAAAGCACGACAAGUACUUGAUUCCAUGGUUGACAAGGGACUUAAGCCUGAUAUUGUUACCUACAACUGCUUAUUAAAUGGAUAUUGCAGAAAGGGGAGAAUAGACGAAGCUUGGCUUCAUUUUCAGGAAUUUCCUUGUAAAGGUCUGGAGCAUGAUACAUGUACUUACACAACCAUGAUACAUGGAUUGUUUAGUGAACGUAGAUUUUCCGAGGGCUGGAAACUUUUCAAGGAUAUGGAAGCUCGACGAGUAUGUCCUGAUAUAUAUACUUAUAGUACAUUGUUGGAUGGGCUGUGCAGGAAUGGGGAGACUGAUGAAGCUCUUUCUUUUCUGCAUACGAUUGAAGGGAAAGGAGUUGAUCUCGAUAGAGUUACAUAUGGGGCUGUCAUUAAUGGAUUAUGCAAAAAUGGGAAACUUGAUGUUGCCAGAGAUCUUUUCAACCAACUGCCUUCUAGAGGUGUGCUACCUAAUGCUCGUAUAUAUAAUAUGAUCAUUGGUGCACUUUGUCAUGAAGGUUCUACGGAGGAGGCACAAUGUUUGCUUACAGAGAUGCAGAGUCAUGGUUGUGCACCUGACGACAUGACAUACAACAUCAUGACACGAAGUUUCCUAAAGAAGAAAGAACUUAGCAAGGCAAUACCAUACUUGGAAGUAAUGCGCGAAAAGGAACUCUCUGCAGAUGUUUCUACUCUUUCCAUGCUCAUUGAUCAAAUGCAAGGAAAAACUAAAGAUGAUGUUCUUCUCAAAUUGAUGAAAGAUGUUUUGCCAAAGGAUUUUCCAUCAUAGUCAUCUUACCUUCUGAGAUGCAACCAACUCAGGCUUUGGGGCUGAACUUUGUGUCUUUUUAUUUCUUCUAGGUUUUUUUUUUUUUUUUUUUUNCAUCUAAAGAUUUUUCUUGUGAUUUUGGAAGGGUACUUGCUUGCGUUUAUUUAUGGGUGGUUUAUCAAUUAAUCGAUUUUUUUGUAAUAUAUCUCAUGUGUACAAAUAUAUUCUCAUAUAUUCUAAUAUAUCAAUUCGUAUGCGUAUGUUGCAGAAAUGGAUAUUCAUUUAUUUUCUUCUACUUUGGAUACAAGAGGCAGCCUUCUAGCUGAAGUGUCUCUUUCCUAGAUUAGCAACACAACUAAUAUACACUUCCAUAUUUAAUGAAAAAAAAUGGCAAAGAAGAAGAUGAAAAGAAAAUUUACCAAACAUAUUACUCAUCUAAACCACAAUUUGAGCAGAAAACUACUUAUUUUGCAAAUCAAAAUUGCCUCACAAAACAUCCUGCAGUUUACAGUCUUGAAAAAGCUACACCAAAAACAUACUUGUGAAGAUUUAGCAACACAACUAAUAGCAGCAAACCGGUAUCUACACCCUCCUUCAUCUCCUAAACACAAUUCUCUCAACAAUACAAAAUACUCCCUCUGUCCCCAAAAUAAAAAUAAGUUUCUCUUUGGGGAUGGCACGGGUUUUAAGGAAAAGUGGUAAAGUGUAUUGAUAGUGGAGAAAAACAUUUUAUAAUUAUUAUUGAGAGUGGUGAAAAUGUGAAAAAAAUGUUAUAAUUACUAUUGGGAGUGGUGAAAAAUUGAAAAGUAAGAAUAAAUAAAGUAUUAUUAGUGGUGGGGUAGUCGUUCGAAAAUGGAAAGAAAGAAAGAGGAACUUAUUUGGAGGACGUCCCAAAAAAGAAAAAGAUGAACUUAUUUCAGGGACGGAGGGAGUAUAUUUUAAUAGGAGUAACAUAUAAUAAUUCACAUCAAUUACUCAAUAAAAUCCUGAAUUUAAAAAUAUAAAUAUUCAAUUUAUACAAAGUGUAAUAAUAAUUGAAGUUAUUAAAUAAAUUUAAAAAGUAUUCGAUAAUAAAAUUUUGCACUAUGCAUAUACUAUUCAUCAUAAUAAAUAUUUCUAUACAAACGUAAAUAAAAAGUUUUGGUGACAUUUAAAUAUUUUUCAUGAUCAAAUUUGAUGACGUUUAAAUAAUAAUUACAAUAUAAAAAGGUUAAAAAAAUAGUGAAAAUUUUGGUGGAAGAAAGAGAUCGAGAGAAAAGAGAGGGAAAAAAUAGAGAGAGAAAACUCAUCUUUUAUAUAUUAUAUAGAUAUAGAUAUAGAUUCCAGGUAUUAUUCUUGUGUUUUUUUCUCAAGAAAAUGUAUUAUUUUAUUUACAUUGUAUAGUAUUGCUAUAUUUUCUUUUCGUGCAUAGCACAUGAGAAAAUACUAGUUAACCUAAGAGAGAGAUUACUAUAGUGAUUUUCUUAGAAGAAAUGCGCGAAAAGAGACUCUUAGCAUAUGCUUCUACUUUUUUGAUUUAAUCCAUUAUCAUUGCAGCAGAUUAUUUAAAGGGGUGGAAUUAAAAGUACCCACCCCCAUAAUAUGUCUAUGAAAAAUACCCAACCCCUUACUAGGGGUGGGUAUUUUUCAUAUAUUAAGUCUUAUUUAAAUUUGUUUGGAUUGGUCUAGAGAUGACACUUGUUCUACUUUUUUUUAUAUAAGGCACUUACUUGAAGUUAUAAAAAAUAUAUAUACAUAUAUAUAAAAGUCCAUUAUGAUAUCACAAAAUUUUUUAUCAUAAAAAACACAUGCAAUUCUAAAAUUAACAAAUAAUAAUAUGCCUUAUAACUACAAUAUUAAAUAUUACAAACUGAUCUACAACAAAAUUAUAAUACAAAUUUGAAUAAGAGCGAUGAAAAGAAUUGUUUAACUUAAUAUUACCAACAAAUUUCACUCAUAACGCCAUUGCAUAAUGAAACUAUCAAAUUAACUAUAUAUUUUUUUAUUUACAUACAAAAUAGGGUUAUUUACGAAAGAAAUAAGGUUAUUUUAGGUAUUUUUUUUAAAGACAAAUGAAAGAAGGAAACUCAUUGUAUAAUUAAAAGUUCUCAAGUAUACAUUAGAAAAUACAAGUAAAAAAAAAGUAUACAUUAGAAAAUACGAUGGAAUUGUGUAGUGAUCCAACAUAUUUGGUAAGUGGCUACUUUAUUUCAAAGUUAAAUACUUUUUUAUAUAAUUAAAAUAAGAAAACUAAAAUAAUUAUAGAUGCACUACAUUUUAAAAAAUGUAAGAAAACGUUUAUUAUGUUUACUAUCUUAGUAUUUUUUUUUCUGUAGCCCAAAUAAUUUGAGCCCAAACAUUAUUAUUCAAGCCCAAAAUUCUGAGCCUACCAAAGAACUCCCCUUACAAAAAAGUCCAAAUCGCAAACUCCAUCCGUUGCAAUUUCAACCCUUUUUUCAGAUUCAAUCACAACUAAUCUCGCAAGCGUCGCCCAACACUCUCCCUUUCUUCACAUUAAAUCUCACCGCCGAUUAAGGAUGAGAGCAGAAGAGCUGCUGUUUCUGCAAUCGAUCUCAUUCAUGGAACAGGAUUUCUCAUCGAUGGUCGCAUAAAUCGGGUAUUUCUCUCCUCCAUUCCACUUCUCUUCAAGCGUCGCCCAACACUCUCCCUUUCUUCACAUUAAAUCUCACCGCCGAUUAAGGAUGACGAGCAGAAGAGCUGCUGUUUCUGCAAUCGAUCUCAUUCAUGGAACAGGAUUUCUCAAUCGAUGGUCGCAUAAAUCGGGUAUUAUCUCUCCUCCAUUCUCUCUCUUCUCUUCCAAGGCUUUUCAACCUAAGCAGCCCAGAAUCGAUUUCAGCUGUGUUAAAGAAUUAAAUGAUGCUAUUGGAUUGUUUCAAAAAAUGAAGAGUAUGCAGCCGGAGCCUUCUGUUCGAAUGUAUAACAAUCUUUUGAGUGUCACUGUAAAGAUUGAGCAGUAUUCUUUUGCCCUUUAUAUGUUUGAUGAAAUGCUUAGGAUGGGUGUCCCUGUUGAUGUUUACACGAUGACUAUUGCUGUGAAUUGUUGUUGUCUCUUGAAAGAUAUAAAAUCUGGCUUUGCUGUAAUGGGUAUAUUUUUCAAGAGAGGCUACGAACCAAAUGUCGCGACAUUCACCACUCUGAUUAAAGGGUUGUUUUUAAAUCAUAAGGUGGCCGAGGCUGGGAAAUUGUUCAAUAAGAUUUUGCGUUUCGGAAUAUGUGAGCCUAAUGAUGUUAUGAUUCUGACGAUGGUAGAUGGGCUUUGUAAAUCAGGAAAUGUCCUUCCAGCGAGAGAUUUAGUUCGUAGAUUAGAAAGAAGUAGGUUGAGACCUAAUGUCAAGGCUUAUAAUGCAUUACUCGAUGGGCUACGCAAAUCUGGAAUGGUGGAUGAUGCUCUCCAGCUCCUAUCCGCGAUGAUCGAAAAGGGUAUUACACCCAAUGUUGUCACGUACAACUCAAUGAUUCAGGGGUUGUGCGACCUAGGGAGACUGGAGGAUGUUAAGGUUCUGGUGAAUGAAAUGUCUAAUUCUAAUAUUUCUCUCGAUGUUGUUACCUUUAGUAUAUUGAUUGAUGCAUACUGCAAGGAGAGAAAGAUGGAAGAGGCUGAGGAUUUGUUGAAAAUUAUGAAGCAACGUAACGUAUGCCCUAAUGUUGUCACUUAUAAUACGCUGAUUGAUGGGUAUUGUUUGAGAGGGGAAAUUGACAAAGCACGACAAGUAAUUGAUUCCAUGGUUGACAAGGGACUUAAGCCUAAUAUUGUUAGCUACGGCUGCUUAUUAAAUGGAUAUUGCAGAAAGGGGAGAAUAGACGAAGCUUGGCUUCAUUUUCUCGAAGUUCCUUUGAAAGGUCUGGAGCAUGAUACAUGUACUUAUAAUACCAUGAUUCAUGGACUGUUUAGUAAGCGUAGAUUUUCCGAGGGCUGGAAACUUUUCAAGGAUAUGGAAGCUCGACGAGUAUGUCCUGAUAUAUAUACUUAUAAUACAUUGUUGGAUGGGCUGUGCAGGAAUGGGGAGAUUGAUGAAGCUCUUUCUUUUCUGCACACGAUUGAAGGGAAAGGAGUUGCUCCUAAUAGAGUCACAUAUGGGGCUGUCAUUAAUGGAUUAUGCAAAAAUGGGAAACUUGAUGUUGCUAGAGAUCUUUUCAACCAACUACCUUCUAGAGGUGUGCAACCUAAUGCUCGUAUAUAUAAUAUGAUCAUUGGUGCACUUUGUCAUGAAGGUUCUACAGAGGAGGCACAAUGUUUGCUUACAGAGAUGCAGAGUCAUGGUUGUGCACCUGACGAAGUGACAUACAACAUCAUGACGCGAAGUUUCCUAAAGAAGAAAGAGCUUAGCAAGGCAAUACCAUACUUGGAAGUAAUGCGCGAAAAGGAACUCUCAGCAGAUGUUUCUACUCUUUCCAUGCUCAUUGAUCAAAUGCAAGGAAAAACUAAAGAUGAUGUUCUUCUCAAAUUGAUGAAGGAUGUUUUGCCAAAGGAUUUUGCAUCAUAGUCAUCUCGCCUUCUGAGAUGCAACCAACUCAGGCUUUGGGGCUGAACUUUGUGUCUUUUUAUUUCUUCUAGUUUUUUUUUUUUUUUUCAUCUAAAGAUUUUUCUUGUGAUUUUCUUGCGUUUAUUUAUGGGUGGUUUUUCAAUUCUCAUAUAUCUCAUGUUGUGUGCAAAUAUAUUCUCAGAUAUUCUAAUAAUUCAAUUCAUAUGCAUAUGUUACUGAAAUGGAUAUUCAUUUAUUUUCUUCUGCUUUUGAUUUUCACCUAGAAAUAAAGGGUGGUAAGUAUCUGUUCCCUUUGAGCAAGAAGCAGACAGCCUUCUAGCCUUCUAGCAACACAACUAAUAUAUACUUCCAUAUUUAAUGAAAAAAAAUGGCAAAGAAG